GCCAACCAGAAAGCCAAGGAAGGAGUCGAGACUGAGAACAACGAUCAUAUUAAUUUAAAAGUGGCGAGGCAGGAUGGUUCUGUGGUACAGUUUAAGAUGAAGAGGUAUACAUCACUUAGUAAACCAAUGAAAGCCUACUGUGAAUGACAAGGUUUGUCAAUGAGGCAUAUCAAGAUUCCGGUUUGAUAGGCAACCAAUCAAUGAAACAGAUACUCCUGCACGGUAGGAAAUGGAGGAUGAAGAUACGAUUGACGUGUUUCAGCAGCAG
rnacentral:lncRNA from 1 species